GGCUGGGGGUCCUGCAGGCACAGAGGUCCGAUAUGCCCAGUGUGCUGGCCAGUACCCAGCUGGCUCGGUGUCUGGGAAGGGAAGUCUCAGGUCUCGAUGUCCCCUCAGUGGAUCCCUGGAUCCUGCACCUGUAGUACCCACAGCUGUAGGGACAAGGCUUGGAAGUGGAGUCUGGUUGUAAUGAGAGGCCAGUGCUGGAGCUGUGAGAGAAGAGAAGGUUAGCCAUCACCAGCAUUUUUAUGUGUGUAUACGGGGACAGAAAGCUUCCCAGAUAAUCACAAAGAAUACCCAGCAUAGGAUGCACUCUGACUGCAUUGUGAAAGAUGGAUAGUGUGAGGCCAGCCUUUGUUCCAGGCCCAGACCCAGCUCUGGGGGACUCCUCCCUGUGUAGCUCAACACCCCCUCCACACACACUCACAUGCAGAGCCCCAGCCUCCUCCCCUCUGUGCUCUGCCAUGCUGGGCUCCAGGUCCUCCUGCUGCCUCAGCGGCAGGGCUUCUCAGGGCUCAGGGUCAGAGCUGAGUGUGCUGAGCUCCAUGGCAGCCUGAGACUGGGCCUUGGGACGUGUCCUGGGUGGUGUGUGUGGAGCAGGCUUUCCCUUCUUCCUCUUCAUUCCCACUUGGGCUGAUCCCUCCAUGGGCAUGCUCACCUGGAGCCUGCACUGGGCCUCACUGGCAGGGGAGUGGUGAUCCAACGCCUCCCUCGGGGGGGUGAACGGGGUGCCCCCCUCAUUGGCCAUAUCGACUGGGAAGCUCUGAAAUGACUCUGACCGUCAGCCCGCCCUGCCUGGAGUCUACUGAAUUUUUGCUGUCAGCAGAAACAUGUGUCUGCUCAGGCAGAAUUCCCAUCUGGAGCGUGGAGGCUCACCACGUCUACUUACGUGCCCUGGCUUCUAAGACCCACACGAGAGAGCUUAAUGCAGGGCAACCCCUGUUAUUCAAGCGGACACUGGUGGCCUAAUGUAGAUGGUGCAAACCUCUUAUUUGGAGGUUUUAUUAGUUUUCCACGUAAACCACGUUAUUCAGUCUCUAUUCUCCAUUCAGUCUUCUACAACAAUACUUUUCAUAAUCUCUCUUAUGUUUCAAAUUAAAUAGUCCUUUCCCAGAGUCCAACUCCAUCCCUGCUUCAAAUUUGCUGGAUCCACCGGGGCUGGACCCAGAAAGAGCCCAGUGGCACUCCGAGAAAAAGCCACAAAUCCCUAUGUCAACUCGACAGGAAGCCCGACUCUACUGUUGCAGCUCGAGAGGAAAACGGACUUGCAUAUCUCGUGAACUCCAGAGGAACUCCACCUUUCCUGCUGCAACUCGAGAAAAACCCAGGAGAUUCGCCCUUCAACGCUAGAUGAGGCCCUUUUCCACGUCAGCAUCUCUGAGAGAAAUCCUACCUUCCAUCUAGAGCCUUGAAAAGGUCCUUGACGCCCUUGAUGCAACUCCAAGGUCAUCGACAUACCCUUAUCAAAUCGAGAGGAACACAGUGGGUCCCGCC
ensembl:lncRNA